UCAGGGAAGAUCUAUAGACCCCUCCUGCAGACUUCUUGGGGUAUCUACAGUGUGUAGAGAUGAGAGGAAUGUGUGGGUUUGCUGUGUCAUGUGAGUGAGGGCUAUUUAUAACCAGGGAAGCUGAAAAGCUUACUGCAGCUGAGACAAUUGUAUUAAAUAUUGGUUUUUGAGAGAAGAAGGAGCCCACAGACAGGAUGAGGGAGAUCUGCCCUGGAGAAGCAAAUCCCUAACAGCCCUUCAGAAAUCAAAGUUGAACCAGACAUAAGGGUCACAUCCACACUGCUGUUCCAGACUUAGGAGAGACUCACCUUUGACUGAAGUGGCAGCUGGAAGAUGCUACAACUUUUAAUUAAUGAGCUGAGUCCUGACUGCCUGAAGAGGAAGUCACACACUGUAUUUUGGGGUGAUUGCAUCAGCAAGUGCAGAAUGAGCCAGCAGUGCACAGGAGCCAGGAUGCUGCGAGGCAGAGCCGGCAGUGGGAACACGGAGCUCACACAGCCUUGGUGCAAAAUCCUCCUUAAGUUUCUGGAGCCUUGAAACUUCAGAUCUCAGCUGUUCUCCUGCCUCUUGGCAAGUAGUAGGAGAAACAAGAGACUCAAUGAAUAAAGGAAUCUGGGUUUUUUA